AACGAACGCUGGCGGCAUGCUUAACACAUGCAAGUCGCACGAGAAGUAAUUCUAGUGGCGCACGGGUGAGUAACACGUGGGAAUCUGCCCUAAAGUCGUGGAUAACUACUGGAAACGGUAGCUAAUACAGGAUGUGCUGGAAACAGUAAAGUAGCAAUAUGCUUUAGGAUGAGCCCGCAGUUGAUUAGCUAGUUGGUAAGGUAAGAGCUUACCAAGGCAAUGAUCAAUAGCUGUUCUGAGAGGAAGAUCAGCCACACUGGGACUGAGACACGGCCCAGACUCCUACGGAAGGCAGCAGUGGGGAAUUUUGGACAGUGGGGGCAACCCUGAUCCAGCAAUGCAGCGUGAGUGAAGAAGGCCUUCGGGUUGUAAAGCUCUUUUACCGAUGAAGAUGAUGACGGUAGUCGGAGAAUAAGUUCCGGCAAACUUCGUGCCAGCAGCCGCCGUAA
rnacentral:rRNA from 1 species